UAGGGAAUAUUGCGCAAUGGACGAAAGUCUGACGCAGCAACGCCGCGUGGAUGAUGAAGCAUUUCGGUGUGUAAAAUCCUGUCAGUGGGGAAGAAACGUAUGGGUAGUAACUGACUCAUACCUGACGGUACCCACAGAGGAAGUCCCGGCUAACUCCGUG
rnacentral:rRNA from 1 species